AACGAACGCUGGCGGCAUGCCUAACACAUGCAAGUCGAACGAGACGGUCGGGUCUAGGGGCGCACGGCGGCGUAAGGCGGGGGAACCUGCCCUUAGGUUCGGAAUAACUCCCCGAAGGGGGUGCUAAUACCGGUUAAGGUCUUCGGACCAACGAUUUAUCGCCGUUGGAUGGGCCCGUGUUGGCUUAGUUGGUUGGUAGGGUAAAAGCCUACCAAGGCGACGAUGCAUGGCUGGUCUGGGAGGAUGCCCCGCCACACUGGGACUGCGACACGGCCCAGUCUGCUACGGGAGGGUGCAGUGGGUAGUAUUGGACACUGGGCCAUAGUCUGAUCCCGCAAUGCGGCGUGAGUGGUGAAGGCCUUUGGGUUGUAAUGCUCUUUUACCCGGGGUGAUAGUGACAGUACCGGGAGAAUAAGCACCGGCUAACUCCGUG
rnacentral:rRNA from 1 species